rnacentral:rRNA from 1 species
AUGCUCGCCGUUCCCCUCGCCGCGCCAUCUCUCUCCCCCAGCCAGUAUCCUGCCCUGUGUCUGCACAACCUCCGUUCCAUCUGGCCGGUACGCCGUACCCCUCGGCGGUUGUGCAACGACGGCCGCACAACCUGGCAGCCGACAAUCUCACAAACUCAAGGUCGUGCUCAUCUUCACCAUGACCAUGGACUGCGGUCCACCUCAUCGGACCUCUGCUCCACAUGCAACCCUGGACUGCGGUCCACCUCGUCGGAAUGCCAUCUAUGUUCGGGAAUGAAGCCAUCACUAGUGGACUACUACAGGACUCGCCCACCCCAUCCCCAUCUGGCCUAG